UACAGAGGGCUCAAGCGUUGCUCGGAUUCAUUGGGCGUAAAGGGCGCGUAGGCUGCGGGGCAAGUCGGGUGUGAAAUCUCAGAGCUCAACUCUGAAACUGCACUCGAUACUGCUUUGCUUGAGGACUGGAGAGGAGAUUGGAAUUCACGGUGUAGCAGUGAAAUGCGUAGAUAUCGUGAGGAAGACCAGUGGCGAAGGCGGAUCUCUGGACAGUUCCUGACGCUGAGGCGCGAAGGCCAGGGGAGCAAACGGG
rnacentral:rRNA from 1 species